GGCGCUAGCUAGGCGUUGUCACUCGGGAGCAGGCGUGGGCCAGAACCCGGGCGAGUCCUACGGCGUGCGGCUAAGGGAAUCCGGGGCCCCUCGGUGCACCCGGGCAAGCCUGGAGUGCAGCUGUCGAUGAGCCGGAAGCUCAACGCGGACGCUGCACCGGUAAAUCCUGCCUGUGGAAUGCAGAGUGAUUGAUGCUGUCCACCUCAAAAGACGUCAGAAGCCUCAAGGAAGAUCUCCUAGUGGGACUGUGCUGUGAAACAGUCGAAACAGGAAUUAUUCAGAAAAGGACCAUCUGUGCAAUGAGCUUUUGUGUGUCUGACCUUAGAGAAGAAAACCUUAGUCUUUGCUAUGGAGCACCCUUGGUCACUGCCUCCCCUGACGUCCAUAAGAGACUGAGGUUCUCAAGCACUACCUUGCUG